UUCCGGUUGAUCCUGCCGGAGGCUAUUGCUAUCAGGGUUUGACUAAGCCAUGCGAGUCGAGAGGUGAAAGACCUCGGUAUACUGCUCAGUAACACGUGGAUAAUCUGCCCUCAGAUGAGGAAUAAUCCCGGGAAACUGGGGCUAAUGCCUCAUAGGAGACGGGUGCUGGAAUGCUCUGUCGCUGAAAGGUCCGCCGUCUGAGGAUGAGUCUGCGUCCGAUUAGGUUGUUGUUGGGGUAACGGCCCACCAAGCCAUUGAUCGGUACGGGUUGUGGGAGCAAGAGCCCGGAGAUGGAUUCUGAGACACGAAUCCAGGCCCUACGGGGCGCAGCAGGCGCGAAAACUUUACAAUGCGGGCAGCCGUGAUAAGGGAACCUCGAGUGCCUGUAUAUGCAGGCUGUCCAGGUGUCUAAAACACACCUGAAGAAAGGGCCGGGCAAGACCGGUGCCAGCCGCCGCGGUAAUACCGGCGGCUCGAGUGGUGGCCACUUUUAUUGGGCUUAAAGCGUUCGUAGCUGGGUCGUUAAGUCUCUUGGGAAAUCCGGCAGCUUAACUGUCGGGCGUCUAAGAGAUACUGGCGAUCUUGGAACCGGG
rnacentral:rRNA from 1 species